rnacentral:rRNA from 1 species
UACGGAGGGUGCGAGCGUUAAUCGGAAUUACUGGGCGUAAAGGGUGCGUAGGUGGUUGUAUAAGUUAUCUGUGAAAUCCCUGGGCUCAACCUGGGCAGGUCAGAUAAAACUGUAGGACUCGAGUAUAGGAGAGGGUAGUGGAAUUUCCGGUGUAGCGGUGAAAUGCGUAGAGAUCGGAAGGAACACCAGUGGCGAAGGCGGCUACCUGGCCUAAUACUGACACUGAGGCACGAAAGCGUGGGGAGCAAACAGG